GACGAACGCUCGGCGUGCUUAACACAUGCACGUCGAACGGAAAGGCCCUGCUUUUGUGGGGUGCUCGAGUGGCGAACGGGUGAGUAACACGUGAGUAACCUGCCCUUGACUUUGGGAUAACUUCAGGAAACUGGGGCUAAUACCGGAUAGGAGCUCCUGCUGCAUGGUGGGGGUUGGAAAGUUUCGGCGGUUGGGGAUGGACUCGCGGCUUAUCAGCUUGUUGGUGGGGUAGUGGCUUACCAAGGCUUUGACGGGUAGCCGGCCUGAGAGGGUGACCGGCCACAUUGGGACUGAGAUACGGCCCAGACUCCUACGGGAGGCAGCAGUGGGGAAUAUUGCACAAUGGGCGGAAGCCUGAUGCAGCAACGCCGCGUGCGGGAUGACGGCCUUCGGGUUGUAAACCGCUUUCGCCUGUGACGAAGCGUGAGUGACGGUAAUGGGUAAAGAAGCACCGGCUAACUACGUG
rnacentral:rRNA from 1 species